AUACGGAGGAUCCGAGCGUUAUCCGGAUUUAUUGGGUUUAAAGGGUGCGCAGGCGGCCAUUUAAGUCAGCGGUUAAAUCGUGGGGCUCAACCCCAUUCUGCCGUUGAUACUGGGUGGCUUGAUUGCGGUCGAGGUUGGCGGAAUUCGUUGUGUAGCGGUGAAAUGCAUAGAUAUGACGAAGAACACCGAUUGCGUAGGCAGCUGACCAGACCGCAAAUGACGCUCAUGCACGAAAGUGCGGGGAUCGAACAGGAUUAGAUACCCUGGUAGUCCGCACAGUAAACGAUGAAUACUUGUUUUCGGCGAUAUAAUGUCGGAGGCAAAGCGAAAGCGAUAAGUAUUCCACCUGGGGAGUACGCCGGCAACGCUGAAACUCAAAUGAAUUGACGGGG
rnacentral:rRNA from 1 species